CAAGGACGUGAUCAUUCCUGGUGUCCUCUUCACAGAGCUGCUGCCGCAGGAGGCUGUGCUGAAGACCCCAGAAGAAGAAACAAACUCAAAAUGUAGCCCCAGGUACAAGGACAUUCUUCAGGGAGCCCCUUUUUCUGGAAACAGAAUUUGUUUUUGCCAGCAGUCAGCCUUUUGUCCAUUUUCACGUGGCCCAAUUAGGCAAUGGGACCCCUAAUUAGCCAGCCUCAGGCAGUACUUGUUGCCUGCAUAGAAAUUCACACAUGGGGUUCAUCGUUGGCAGGAAACUCAGGCUGUGAACACGGGAGCUGUGGUGUCAGGGCUGGAGUUGGGCCGCCCUGUGAAGCUUGGCCUGGUGGUGUGGACACCCAGGCAGGCUCAUCCUCCUGCAGAACGUGGCAGCUCAGCCCUGGGAUGCCACAAAACCAGAUGAGCCUGAGUUACGGCUGGCCAAAAAGAGAGACAACAUGUCCUACUUCCGGUUAUGGCUACCAGCUGACACAAUUAUGAAAAGAAAGUUGUCCUACUUGAAUGAAGCAUACACAUGUCAGUUUGGUACACUGGACAGCACAGUACUUCUCUCACUUCCUUCCUGCACAGCAUGCUGAGUGGCUGCCUCUGCCCUGACUAGUGUUUGCCAGCCUUUUCCUCCAAGACAUUUGGGUGGAAAAUCCACAAAACAAUAAUAGAUCAAUACAUUUAAAUUAGAACUUUCAAAAAUUCAAUAAUGGUAUUUACAAAUUAAU
rnacentral:lncRNA from 1 species